rnacentral:lncRNA from 1 species
AUGAUCGCUACGGUAGACGACAAAAAGAUCCAGCACCAUACAAGCAGGAAUGGAGGUAAAGGACAAGGACGAGGCUUCUUCAGCGGUCAGGAAGCAGCAGAAGACUUCCAAAGACGUGUUCUUCUCCAUACUGCCCGACAAAUACGAACCCCUGAUCGAAGAGGUGGAGGAGGACAGAGAGGAGACUGCAGAGCAGAAGAGAAAGCGGAAAGAAGAGAAGAAGAGGAGGAAAAAGAAAAAGUACAAAAAGUACAGAAAGAACAUAGGGAAGGCGUUGCGCUUCAGCUGGCGCUGUCUGCUGACCGGUCUGCAGAGCAUGGCUUCCACCUACUCUUCCCCCAUGUCAGCCAUGGCUGUGGUGGUGACAGCAGGGGGUCAAGCAGCUGGAAGCAACACAUGAGAUGAAGGAGGCUCCCGGAGCAAGACAACGUUCAGACAAGUUGAACGAUUCAUUCAUAGAGCUGAAUGAGGCUGCAACUAGCCAACACGGUCUGACUAAAACAUGAACUUUAUAUGUUUUAAUAGAAAAAUAGACCAUGUAUAACACAUUCUGACUGUGUUCUCCAUCUUUUUUAACAAUUAUUAAUACUACACCAUUACUGUGAAUUUUUACUAUACAUACUAUGUGGUUUGUGUUAAACAGCAAAACUGCCCAUAUGUAAAUUAUGUCAUUGAUCCUUGUGCUUUCCUUCCUUUGUGCCUGUUUUCCUUGUCUUACUAACUAUUGUACAUUCUCUUCAAGGACUUUAGAAAAUGACUUUUGUCUUCCUAAAGUCAGACAUUUGUGUAACUGCUUUGAUAACCCUGCAGCUACUGCAGGAGGUACUGGAGCACAAACCAGGUGCAAGCCAAGUGUAAACUUUGAAUUUGGUUGUGUAAAUUUGUUUGUUUGUUGGUUGGUUUAUUUGUUCUACACAGGAACCAUCGGCACUGUUUACUGUGGUUGGGGAAAUGUCACAUGUGUCACCUGCUCACAAGGUUCAGUUUGGACACACCAUGUGGACGUCAUUGUCCUUUGCAUCCACACCCUUAGAUGAAUUCUUCUUCUUCUUCUUCUUCUUCUUCUUCUUCUUCUUCUUCUUCUUCUUCUUCUUCUUCUUCUUCUUCUUCUUCUUCUUCUUCUUCUUCUUCUUCUUCUUCUUCUUCUUAUUAUUAUUAUUAUUAUUAUUAUUAUUAUUAUUAUUAUUAUUAUUAUUAUUACUAUUAUUAAAUGUGCUUUUCAUCAUCGUCGAAUAUGAGUAUGAUGAUGUGACCUCUGACAGCAGGAAGCUGUCUGUACAACUGUUCUGUAUGUUGUAUUUGACUAAACAUAUUAAACACAAAUGUUUACCUGUCAACCUGUUUCAUUUACUU